AUUGAACGCUGGCGGCAGGCCUAACACAUGCAAGUCGAACGGUAACAGGAAGAAGCUUGCUUCUUUGCUGACGAGUGGCGGACGGGUGAGUAAUGUCUGGGAAACUGCCUGAUGGAGGGGGAUAACUACUGGAAACGGUAGCUAAUACCGCAUAAUGUCGCAAGACCAAAGAGGGGGACCUUCGGGCCUCUUGCCAUCGGAUGUGCCCAGAUGGGAUUAGCUAGUAGGUGGGGUAACGGCUCACCUAGGCGACGAUCCCUAGCUGGUCUGAGAGGAUGACCAGCCACACUGGAACUGAGACACGGUCCAGACUCCUACGGGAGGCAGCAGUGGGGAAUAUUGCACAAUGGGCGCAAGCCUGAUGCAGCUAUGCCGCGUGUAUGAAGAAGGCCUUCGGGUUGUAAAGUACUUUCAGCGGGGAGGAAGGGAGUAAAGUUAAUACCUUUGCUCAUUAACGUUACCCGCAGAAGAAGCACCGGCUAACUCCGUG
rnacentral:rRNA from 1 species